GGGUAUCUCCUGGGGUAAAGCUUAGGGUUCACUUCACGCUAAACCACCACGUGAAGGGAAACUCAGCCAACGCCAAGGAACGGCUGUAUUUUUCUCAAACUAAAAAUAUAUUUUAAGUGUAUACAAAAUUUUAACAGCCUUGGCGGACUCGGUUGGAUGCCCUGCGCAAAGUAUCACCGAGUAUGAGUUUUGACACGAGCCAAAGUUUUAAGAAAUUCAUAAGCCAAGUUGAUUACUCGAUUUAUAUGGAUUGAUUUUAUUUGGUUGAAAUGAACUGAAAGGUAAUGAAAUUAUAGUAUGAUGACUUGUUUUAAUUGUCUCCAUUUACUCGGCUUUAGAUACUUUUGAUGGUAUCUGUUUACUCAUUGGGAUUAUAAAAUCUCACCCCUUCUUCCUAUACAUUUUUCAAGCUCAGGACAGUUUGUAGAUAGUCGAGUAAGACGAGAACUAAGCUCGGAACUGCAUUAUAGAAAGUAAGAGUUCACAAUCUUACAUCCUCUUGGUCAAUUGGGACCCACGUGUUGUUGCAUAUCAAAACUUAUAUUUUGGUUAUCUGUAUUUCUAUUCAUACAAUUUUUACUUUACUUUCAUGUGCAAAAAAUUAUUUACGAAUAUUUCUAUAAAAAUUUAUUUUAUGAGAAAAUAGAAUAUUUUAUUGAUUAUUUUUGAAUAGUACUAG
rnacentral:lncRNA from 1 species